UACGUAGGCAGCGAGCGUUGUUCGGAAUUACUGGGCGUAAAGGGCGCGUAGGCGGCCUUCUAAGUCGAACGUGAAAUCCCCGGGCUCAACCCGGGAACUGCGUCCGAUACUGGAAGGCUUGAAUCCGGGAGAGGGAUGUGGAAUUCCAGGUGUAGCGGUGAAAUGCGUAGAUAUCUGGAGGAACACCGGUGGCGAAGGCGGCAUCCUGGACCGGCAUUGACGCUGAGGCGCGAAAGCCAGGGGAGCAAACGGG
rnacentral:rRNA from 1 species